GAGAAAGAGAUGGUUUCUUUUGAAUAUAUUGUGAUAAUAUAAUGUGAUGUACACUAGCCUACUCCACUCCAUUCUUUGUGCUUUUGUUGCUGUUGUUUCCAAUUCUGUGACACUUAAACGGUUAAUAUAUAGAUCUUGGCCAUGUUGAAAUCAUAAAGAAAAUGAAUGCUGCCCAAGAUUUGCAGCACAUCAGUUAUGGUCCCUAUAUCCAUUAAAUACUAACAAAAGUUAAUAUGGUAUAUAAUACCACAUGGUGAAUCAUCUGUGAUUAUGUGUCAAGCACACAAACCUUUCUGUAUAAGAUUCAGUCAUAUUUAGACUGACUCCAGGCUUACAUGCCUUUGCCAUUCAGUUUUGCAAUUCUACUGUUUGUCUCAAGUUUUUGACUGUUGCUCUAUUUUCCCGCAGACCUUUCUGUAAAAAAAAAAAAAAAAAAACCUAUUGUGGUUGUAUUCAUGUGUCUUCGUUUCCUUUGCAAUACAUCAAAGUUGACUCUCAUGCUGUAUCUAUCCAGCGAGCCAAUCAGUGCUCCGCAGGUCAUUGGUGCCGCCCACUGAACUGAUGCAGAGAUGAAAGCUGUACAGCAGUCUUUGCUAACGGUGUGUGUGCGUGCCUAUAAAGUAGUCAGUUCAUCCACCUGCCUCAUCUGAAGCUUUCAUCGACAGCCUGUCAUUGGUUGUGGAGACAUGCAGCACCAAGACUUGCCUUUACAGACACAAAGGUCACACAGAUGAACUCCAGAAAUCUUUUGCCUCUUCAGUUAUUGAGCAAAAACGUUUGAUUAGCUCAGCUUGUUGCUCAAGUUACAAGGGUUAAAUGUCAUAUUGAAAAACAUCUGCAUACACUGCUUCAACACAUUAACUUCCACCAGGCUUGGAGCUGGUGCAACUCAUCCUCAAAAGCAUAUUUCUUAAGCUUCUAAAACAUACCAGAAUAUAAUAUUAAUCCUGCAAGGAGAAGGAACGCUGUGAUUUGUUUUUACGACCACAUUUGUGUAUGAGUGUGUAGGAGACAUCUUUCUGCACAUGCUCAGACCUGAGAGACCUUGCCUUCAAACCACAUCCUGAUUAACACAAGAUAAAAUUGAUCUGCUGUAAGAUCUGAGGAUUUUACCAUAUCAGCUCACCUGUUCAAACAGAUCACCUCAAACUCCUAGACAAGCCAUGGAUUUUGAGAAGAACAAAGAAGGAUGUAAAAACUGCCAAAAGAAUUGCAAUAACAAAUGCCAAUGUCAUUGUCAUACAAUAACCCAAAGUCCUAAACCUAAGCAAAGGACUGAGGAGAAGACGUCUGGAGGGCCUUCAAAAGAGUGCGGCUCCUGUGAUUGCGGCCACUGUGAUGGUGACUUCUGUGACAGUGGCUCCUGUGACUGUGGCUCCUGUGACUGUGGCUCCUGUGACUGUGGUUCCUGUGACUGUGGCUCCUUUGAUUGCGACUCCUGUGAUUGCGACUCCUGUGACUCCUAUGACGGUGGCUCAAGUGAUGGUGGUGCUGGUGAUGGUGGCUCAUAUUACUGCGGCCCCUGUGAUUGCGGCCCCUGUGAUUGUGGCUCCUGUGAUUGUGGCUCCUGUGAUUGUGGUUCCUGUAUUAGUCAGUGAAUGUUUGCAGGAUAAUGGUCAGACAGAUGGAAUUGUGAAGAUGACGCAGCACUCAGGACGGGUUUCAGCUCCAGUGAAGUACCUCAUCAAGACAAAGACAACAGCACUAUGAUCUACAAUAAAUAUCAGGACCCCUUUAGUGCCAUCAUGGAUGUUAAACAUCAUAAAAACAAUAUUAUCUGUACAUAUAAAUACAAUUACAACCAAACGGUCAAAUUAAACACAAUAACAAAUCAGUUCAGUUAAAUGUUUUUUUGCCAGUGCUCUGAAUAUCUGUAUUUUUAAGAAAAUUUGUCUGUUUUAAUUUAAUUAAAUUUUUUGGAUUUUACAACAACGAGAACAUUGUCUCUCAAUUUUGAAAUGAUUUUAAGCAUUAUGCACU